rnacentral:lncRNA from 1 species
GAUUCUGUCCUAUGCUUUGAGCAACCCUACAUUGUGGUCUGAAAAAUGUCUUCAAGUCAAAAACUGGAAUAACUAUAGAGCUCACUCAGUUGUGCACUGGAGACUACUCAUAACUUUCUCAAGUUCUGAUUAUAUGCUCCACAUUCUUUUCGGAAACAUGAAUUGGAAACAUAUUCAAUCAUGUUAGUGGGUGUACCAGUUCACAAUCCCAAUAGAAAUGAUGUAAGAAGCAGGACACAACUCCAGAGGUGGGGCUCAGACAUGGAACCAGAUUGAGGACAAGUUAACACAGGGCCUGGUAAGAAGCAGUUUUCUAAUUAGACAUGCCCACCAAUGUGCCAUGUCAAUUUAUCAUUCCAAUGGCAACACCCAGCUUUUACCGACUCUUUACAUGGCUAUGACCCAAUGACCCAAGUUACUACCCCUUCCCUAGAAAAUUCUGCAUAAACCACGCCUUAAUCUGCAUGCAAUUAAAAGUGGGUAUAAAUAUGACUGCAAAGCUGCCCUGAGCUACGGUGGUCUGCCUACUACUGGGUAGCCAUGCUCUGCAGGAGCAGUCAUGGAGCUGUAACUCCAUCAGACUGUAACACUGCCUCUUCAAUACAACUGUUUUCUUCUACAUCUGGCUUGCCUUUGAAUUCUUUCCUGGGCAAGGCCAAGAACCCUCACAGGCUAAACUCCACUUUGGGGCUAGUUUGCCCUGUAUGAGAAAUGUUUGAGUCCAGUUCCUCUACAUCCUAACUCACAUUUGACACUGGCAUUGAUUUUUUAUGUAUUUAUCGAUUUUGUUCUGUAUUGUUUUGCCACUUGGAUAGGUGUGUAUGCCUGGUUCAUUUUGAUUACUGUAUGUAUGGUUCAUUUUGGGUUUCUCCAGUGUCUGAUGAUGUUGAACAUCUUUGCAUGUGCUUACCUGCCACUGGGACAUCUUCUUCAAUGAAAUGUAUCUUGCUGUUUUUUGCUCAUGUCAUAAUUGGGUUUUCUUUUGAGAAUUCUUUACAUAUUGUAGAUACUAUCCAUUUGUCAAAUACAUGGCUAGCAAACAUUUUCUUCCCAUAUGUAGCUUUGUUUCACUCUUUAUAGAGUGAAAUAUUUAGAUUUCAAUGAAGUCCAAUUUGUCAUUUUUCCCUUAUGGUUCAUGCUUUUGAUGUAAACAAUAAGGAUUCUGUCCAUCAUAGAUUCCAAGUAUUUGUUCUAUAUUUUUAGCUACAAGUUUCACACUUUUACAUUUUACAUUUAAUCUGUGGCUUAUUAUGAGUUAAAUUUUGUAUAAAAUGUGAGAGGUUUGAAGGUUGAGUUCUUAUUUAUUUUUUACUUGCCUUUUUUUUUUAUCUGUAAGUGUUCAAUUGCUCGAGAACCGUUAUUUGAAAAUGUUAUCUUUUCUGCAAUGAAUUGCCUUUGGAACUUUGUCAAAAAUUAGUUAGGGGUAUGUUUGUGGAUUUAGUAUAUUUGGGCUUUUUGUUCUCUUCAAUUAAGCUAUGUAUCUAUACCUCCACCAAGACUAGACUAUAUUAUUACUAAUAGCUAUAUAGUACUUUACGUUGAGUGGGGUAAUUUUUUCUACUUUAUUUUCCAUUAUCAGGACUGGUGUGGCUAUUCUAGUGACUGUGACUUUCUGUGUAAAUUUCAAAAUAUUUUUGUCUUUUGUCUACAGAAAAAACCCCUUGCUGGGAUUUUGGUAGCACCUGCCUAAACCUAUAGAUCAACUUGGUAGAAUUAAUGUCUUUACUCUGCCAAGUCUUUCAAUCUAUUCACCCAAUAUAGCUCUUCAUUUAUUUAGCACUUUGAAAAUUUCUUUCAUCAUUAUUUUGCAUUUUUCAACUGACAUUUCCUGUAUAUGUUUUAUUAAGUUUAUAAUUAAGUAUAUGUUUUUUGGAGGAAGUAUACAUGUAUUUUUUAAAAUUUUAUUUCAAUAUGUUUAUUGUUAGUAUAUAGACAUGUGAUGAUUUUUGUUGGUUGUAUAUUUUGUCCUGUGUUCUUGGGUCUUGUGGCCUUGUUGUAAUCACUUAUUAGUUACAGCUGAUUUUUUUUUGUAACUUACUUAAGAUUUUCUACAUAAACAAUUAUGUCAUCUACAAAGAGAGACAACGUCUUUUCAAUCUACUUGCUCUUUGUUUCCUUCUCUUGACUUACAACAGUAGAAAGAACUACCAGUAGUUCAUUAAAUAAAGUUCAUAUGAGUGGACAUAUUUGUCUUGUUUCUAACCUUGAGGUAUAGGGAGGAUUCAGGGUUUUGCCAUUACAAAUAAUUUUAGAUGCAGUUUUUGGUUUCUGUUUUGCUCUGUUUUGUUUUGGGUAGGCA